rnacentral:lncRNA from 1 species
GAUUCGAUGAGGGUGCCGCCGUAGGAGAUGCCAAUAGCACCGCCUGAAAGGGCAUGAGAAAGGUCUAGACCAUUUGGAUUGCGGUCGUCUGAUGUUGAAUUUGAUUAUCAGCUUGGUUGGCCACCAUUAGGAAGCAACGACAUUGGAAAGCUGAGAAGAUGUUUGUCUCUGAGUCAUGAAUGCGAAUGUAAGUCUUUCCUCUAUCUGUUGCUACUUAAAUCGGUC